UGUGGCUCAGUUGGUAGAGUACAUGCCCCACAAGCAUGAAGCUCUGGGUUUGAUCCCUGGUA
rnacentral:tRNA from 1 species